rnacentral:rRNA from 1 species
UACGAGGGGGGCGAGCGUUGUUCGGAAUUAUUGGGCGUAAAGGGCGCGUAGGCGGUGCCACAAGUCACUUGUGAAAUCCCCGGGCUUAACUCGGGGCCUGCAGGCGAAACUGUGGUGCUGGAGUGUGGGAGAGGUGCGUGGAAUUCCUGGUGUAGCGGUGAAAUGCGCAGAUAUCAGGAGGAACACCAAUGGCGAAGGCAGCUCGCUGGGACGGUACUGACGCUGAGACGCGAAAGCGUGGGGAGCAAACAGG